rnacentral:rRNA from 1 species
UACGAAGGGGGCUAGCGUUGCUCGGAAUCACUGGGCGUAAAGCGCACGUAGGCGGACUCUUAAGUCGGUGGUGAAAUCCCGGGGCUCAACCCCGGAACUGCAUUCGAUACUGCCUUGCUCGAGUACUGGAGAGGAGACUGGAAUUUACGGUGUAGCAGUGAAAUGCGUAGAUAUCGUAAGGAAGACCAGUGGCGAAGGCGAGUCUCUGGACAGUUACUGACACUGAGGCACGAAGGCCAGGGGAGCAAACGGG